rnacentral:rRNA from 1 species
AUUGAACGCUGGCGGCAGGCCUAACACAUGCAAGUCGAGCGGAUGAAGGGAGCUUGCUCCUGGAUUCAGCGGCGGACGGGUGAGUAAUGCCUAGGAAUCUGCCUGGUAGUGGGAGAUAACGUCCGGAAACGGGCGCUAAUACCGCAUACGUCCUGAGGGAGAAAGUGGGGGAUCUUCGGACCUCACGCUAUCAGAUGAGCCUAGGUCGGAUUAGCUAGUUGGUGGGGUAAAGGCCUACCAAGGCGACGAUCCGUAACUGGUCUGAGAGGAUGAUCAGUCACACUGGAACUGAGACACGGUCCAGACUCCUACGGGAGGCAGCAGUGGGGAAUAUUGGACAAUGGGCGAAAGCCUGAUCCAGCCAUGCCGCGUGUGUGAAGAAGGUCUUCGGAUUGUAAGGCACUUUAAGUUGGGAGGAAGGGCAGUAAGUUAAUACCUUGCUGUUUUGACGUUACCAACAGAAUAAGCACCGGCUAACUUCGUG